UCUUCCGUAGUAUAGUGGUCAGUAUGUGAGCUUGUCAUUCCUUGUGGCUUUCGCUCGAGACCCGGGUUCAAUUCCCGGCGGGAGAG
rnacentral:tRNA from 1 species